AAAAAGUUUUAUUUUAGCUUGGAAUAUUAAUUUAUAAUUUUUUUUUACAUGUGAGUUUUUGCGUGAAUUAUAUAAAAUUUAAAAAAUUUUUUAUAAAAUUAUUUAUUCGCAGUUUAUAAUUUUUUAUAUUUAAGAAAUUAAGAUAAAGAUAUUUAUAUUAAUAUUAACAAAGUUUGUGCCAGCAGUUGCGGUUAAACAAACAAUAUAAUUAAUAUUUUUUAGUAAAUAAUUAAAUGGAUUUUUUUUUUAAAUAAAAAUUAAUUUUAUUAAGUGAAAUUUUAAAAUUAAUAAAUUUUAUAAAAAAUAAUUUGAAGUUAUUAAAUUUUUAUUUAAACUAGGAUUAGAUACCCUAUUAUUUAAAAUGUAAAUUUUAUUACUAAAUUAUUAAUAGUUAUGUUCUUAAAAAUUAAAAAAUUUGGCGGUAUUUUAGUCUUUUCAGAGGAACCUGUUCUAUAAUCGAUAGUCCACGAUUAGUUUUACUUUUAUUAAUUAAUUUGUAUAUCGUCGUAGUUUGAAUAUUUUUUAAGAAUUUAAAUAUUCAAAAUUUAUAAUUAUAAAAAAAAUCAGAUCAAGGUAUAGUUUAUAUAAAAGAAGAAAUGGGUUACAAUAAAUAAAUUUAUGGAUUUAAAAUUUAAAUAUUUUAAUUAAAUUGGAUUUGAAAGUAAUAUAAUUAAUUUAAAUUAUAUGAUUUAAGCUCUAAAAUAUGUACAUAUCGCCCGUCGCUCUCAAAUAAAUUGAGAUAAGUCGUAACAAAGUAGAUGUACUGGAAAGUGUAUCUAGAAAGAA
rnacentral:ncRNA from 1 species